CCUACGGUGCGCAGCAGUCGAGAAUCAUUCACAAUGGGGGAAACCCUGAUGGUGCGACGCCGCGUGGGUGAAUGAAGGUCUUCGGAUUGUAAACCCCUGUCAUGUGGGAGCAAAUUAAAAAGAUAGUACCACAAGAGGAAGAGCCGGCUAACUCUGUGCCAGCAGCCGCGGUAAUACAGCGGUCUCAAGCGUUGUUCGGACUCACUGGGCGUAAAGCGUGCGUAGGCUGUUUUGUAAGUCGUGUGUGAAAGGCGCGGGCUCAACCCGCGGACGGCACAUGAUACUGCGAGACUAGAGUAAUGGAGGGGGAACCGGAAUUCUCGGUGUAGCAGUGAAAUGCGUAGAUAUCGAGAGGAACACUCGUGGCGAAGGCGGGUUCCUGGACAUUAACUGACGCUGAGGCACGAAGGCCAGGGGAGCGAAAGGGAUUAGAUACCCGUGUAGUC
rnacentral:rRNA from 1 species